rnacentral:misc_RNA from 1 species
GAUGAAGAACGUAGCGAAAUGCGAUAAGUAAUGUGAAUUGCAGAAUUCAGUGAAUCAUCGAAUCUUUGAACGCACAUUGCGCCCGCCAGCACUCUGGCGGGCAUGCCUGUUCGAGCGUCAUUUCAACCAUCAAGCCCCAGCGCUUGUGUUGGGGGCCUGCGGCUGCCGCAGCCCCCUAAAAGCAGUGGCGGGCUCGCUAUCACACCGAGUGCAGUAGUUCAUCUUCUCUCCGGUCUUGUGAGGCGGGUUCCGGCCGUGAAACACCCCACUACAUUCAAGGUUGACCUCGGAUCAGGUAGGAAUACCCGCUGAACUUAAGCAUAUCAAUAAGCGGAGGA